GGGGAUGUUCCGGUUUCGACGGGCAGGAGUAAUCUUGUGCUGCAGGCAGGCGUGAAGGUGCCUUAAACUGACAAAACAAUAACUGCAAAAGUUGCAAAACGUCGUGAAGAGGAAUCUUCCGAAGCAGUUAGCCUCGCUGCUUAAUGCGAGACCGGCACUUGCGGUGUGCUGUUCCUAACGCCGUAAACUGCUGUCACAGACAGGGACUUGCUUUGCACGGAGCGCAGGCCGUGUACGGGACUUCUUUCUGCGAUACGGAAAGGACGCCUUUGAAGCCGCUACCCUUUCCCGACAAACACCUCGCUUCAAUAAGCCUGUAGAGGUGCCUGGUUAACUUGUUCGGACGGGGGUUCAAUUCCCCCCAUCUCCAAAA
rnacentral:tmRNA from 1 species